rnacentral:rRNA from 1 species
UACGGAGGGUGCUAACGUUGCUCGGAAUCAUUGGGCGUAAAGCGCGCGUAGGCGGUUUGUCAAGUUGGAUGUGAAAGCCCCGGGCUCAACCUGGGAAGUGCAUCCAAAACUGUCAGACUUGAAUCUCGGAGGGGGUCAGAGAAUUCCCGGUGUAGAGGUGAAAUUCGUAGAUAUCGGGAGGAAUACCAGUGGCGAAGGCGCUGACCUGGACGAAGAUUGACGCUGAGGCGCGAAAGCGUGGGUAGCAAACAGG